GAAUUUUUUAUCUCCUGGCGGAGACGGAGAUGGGAGGGGGGCGGGACCUCGUUUAGAAGAUUGCGCUCCCUAGCUUGGCAGGAAAAGUUGUUUGUUUUUUUGGCGUUUCUGUGCAUCUUACGGAGGGUCCCCAUCAUCCCCGCGGGGCGCACAAGGAGUUGUGAAAAGUACCGCACAACUGGCCACCGGAAUAAUUCAUCCCCUCCACCUUCUCGUUAGCGCCUCCCACUUCUCUUUUUAUAGCAGUUUCUUUCUCUCGAAAAAUCUCAGGUUACUUGACUGGGAGUUCUCAGACCUCCAGUUUCAGCCCUGCCCUCAGCCUCCAGUCGUUGAGAGAGAGACACCCAGCCCCAGCAAUCGGAUUGGGCAGCCCGCCUUGACACACCACUGUGCUGAGUGCUUGAAGACGUGUUUCACCAGAUGGUUGGGGUUAGCGUGUGUCAUCACAUUCGAGUGGGGAUUAGGAGUAGGAAGGCUGCCUUGCCGGAGCUGUGUGGUCUUCUCCAAGGGAGAAUUGCGGGCAAGAGAACUCCUUUGCUCCGGGGAGAAGAGGAGGAAUUCGUUUUCCGCAGCCACGAGAAAAGCAGUGUUUUCAGUGGAGGAGUUCUCUCAUAAAAUGCAUCCAAGAAGUCUGUGAUUUCUGAAAAAUCUCACCUUUCAGGAACUUUCCUGGCCUUCUAGGAAGUCAUCUACACUCCGGAGGUCUCCUGAUGAGCAAUAGCAGGAGC
rnacentral:lncRNA from 1 species